UAUCGCGUGAGUGGUGUCGGCGUCCCGAUAGUAUCGGGACUUAAUUGGGAAACCCUGCGAAAAUCAGGUGCGGUCCCGCCGCUGUGACCGGGGACGAAACUUGGGAUAUGCCACUUUCCUGUUGAAACAGGAGGGGAAGGCCUCAAGGAGUAGGACGAUCCGGGAGCCAGAAGACCUGCCGGCAAUCAAAAACCCUC
rnacentral:ncRNA from 1 species